rnacentral:rRNA from 1 species
UCACCACUUUGUGGUUCAUGACUGGGGUGAAGUCGUAACAAGGUAGCCCUAGGGGAACCUGGGGCUGGAUCACCUCCUUAACGAUAGAU